rnacentral:rRNA from 1 species
GACGUAGGGCGCGAGCGUUGUCCGGAAUCACUGGGCGUAAAGGGCGCGUAGGUGGCCCGUUAAGUGGCUGGUGAAAUCCCGCGGCUCAACUGCGGGGCUGCCGGUCAUACUGGCGAGCUAGAGCACGGUAGGGGCAGAUGGAAUUCCCGGUGUAGCGGUGGAAUGCGUAGAGAUCGGGAAGAAUACCAGUGGCGAAGGCGUUCUGCUGGGCCGUUGCUGACACUGAGGCGCGACAGCGUGGGGAGCAAACAGG